GAGGUGUUUUCAAAGUUGAAGGA
rnacentral:piRNA from 1 species